GACGUAGGGCGCGAGCGUUGUCCGGAUUAUUGGGCGUAAAGAGCUCGUAGGCGGCUUGUCGCGUCGUCCGUGAAAACCUGCGGCUCAACUGCAGGCUGGCGGUCGAUACGGGCAGGCUGGAGUUCGGUAGGGGAGACUGGAAUUCCUGGUGUAGCGGUGAAAUGCGCAGAUAUCAGGAGGAACACCGGUGGCGAAGGCGGGUCUCUGGGCCGAUACUGACGCUGGAGGCGCGAAAGCUAGGGGAGCAAACAGG
rnacentral:rRNA from 1 species